GACGAACGCUGGCGGCGUGCUUAACACAUGCAAGUCGAACGGAAAGGCCCUGCUUUUGUGGGGUGCUCGAGUGGCGAACGUGUGAGUAACACGUGAGUAACCUGCCCUUGACUUUGGGAUAACUUCCGGAAACUGGUGCUAAUACCGGAUAGGAGCUCCUGCUGCAUGGUGGGGGUUGGAAAUUUUCGGCGGUUGGGGAUGGACUCGCGGCUUAUCAGCUUGUUGGUGGGGUAGUGGCUUACCAAGGCUUUGACGGGUAGCCGGCCUGAGAGGGUGACCGGCCACAUUGGGACUGAGAUACGGCCCAGACUCCUACGGGAGGCAGCAGUGGGGAAUAUUGCACAAUGGGCGGAAGCCUGAUGCAGCAACGCCGCGUGCGGGAUGACGGCCUUCGGGUUGUAAACCGCUUUCGCCUGUGACGAAGCGUGAGUGACGGUAAUGGGUAAAGAAGCACCGGCUAACUACGUG
rnacentral:rRNA from 1 species